rnacentral:rRNA from 1 species
UUGAACGCUGGCGGCAGGCCUAACACAUGCAAGUCGAACGGUAACAGGAAGAAGCUUGCUUCUUUGCUGACGCGUGGCGGCCGGGUGAGUAAUGCCUGGGAAACUGCCUGAUGGAGGGGGAUAACUACUGGAAACGGUAGCUAAUACCGCAUAACGUCGCAAGACCAAAAAGGGGGACCUUCGGGCCUCUUGCCAUCGGAUGUGCCCAGAUGGGAUUAGCUAGUAGGUGGGGUAACGGCUCACCUAGGCGACGAUCCCUAGCUGGUCUGAGAGGAUGACCAGCCACACUGGAACUGAGACACGGUCCAGACUCCUACGGGAGGCAGCAGUGGGGAAUAUUGCACAAUGGGCGCAAGCCUGAUGCAGCCAUGCCGCGUGUAUGAAGAAGGCCUUCGGGUUGUAAAGUACUUUCAGCGGGGAGGAAGGGAGUAAAGUUAAUACCUUUGCUCAUUGACGUUACCCGCAGAAGAAGCACCGGCUAACUCCGUG